AAGAAAAAAAAUCUCUCCAAAAUAAAUGAAAUUCGGUGUUGCGUCGUUCUUUUUCUUUCCUUUCCUUUCGGCAGUCUGCUUUCUCAAUCUUUCUUCUUUCUUCCUUCUUUACUUCGAAAUUAGCAUAGCCGACGAGAGAGAUCAAACUUUUCUUCAUUUCUGGAGAAAUCGAUUGGGAAGCAGACGAUUUGUGCUGUUUGAUUUGUCGUUUGUUUGAAGAAGUGGAAGAAAAUGUUGGUAGCGAACAGUUUCGAUUUAUGGCAGAAGGACUCCUUCUUCUCCGCAGCUGAGGAGGUUCAGCAAUCUGCUGAUAGAAUGGAAUCGGCACAUAGGACAUGGCUCCGAGCAAGGAGAGAAGAAUUAAUACCCCAGAAUUUGAAUGAAAUAACUAGAGAGCUUCAAAUGGCUUUAGGCACUGCAAAAUGGCAGUUGGAAGAGUUCGAAAGGGCAAUUCAUAUAAGCUACCGAAAUAACAGUGAUGAUAGCACAACUACUCGUCAUAGGGAAUUUGUUACUGCUAUACAAGAUCAGAUUUUGCGUGUCGAAACUGCAUUGAAGGAAUCAUUAAACACAGAAGGAACAGAACCAUUUAGAUGGGUAAAUUUGGAUGAAGAAGAAUGUGAUGACUUAGAACAUUUUCUUUCUGGAACUCCUGGAACCUCCCAUGGAUCAUCACUUCGUAGAAGUAAUGCAAAAGGAGAUUCCCCUCAUGGUUCUGGGGUUAGUUCCAUUUUGCAAACUGCAAAUCAAGAGAUUAGGUUAAAAGAAGUUCCCAGGAGUAUCGUAGCUGCCAACAGCUUCAUAGAGCUGCAGGAGAGCAAAUUUCCUGAGUCAGCAGAUGAAAUUAGAAAUCAAGUGGAUGAGAUAUCUAAUAACCGAAGAGCAUGGAGUUUGUCGGACAGAACUGCUCUUGAGAUUGUUGUUGAUAAUGAUGAGAGGCCUAGAAAUGCACUGGUUGAAUCAACCCCAAAAGAGAAGGGAUUCAAAUCUUUCUUUUGGAGGCCAAGGAGUGGAGCUAAAAGCGUGCCCCAUCUUACCCGGAUGAAGAUUCUCAGUUGGGUAAAUCGGAACACAAGAGGAGGCCACAGAAGUCAGAGGCAGCACCUAAUGUCUUCACUCUUUCCAGUUAAUUCCAUACGUUUCGUACUUGCCUUUAUGCUCACCAUAUUUUUAGUCGUGCCUUUUUUGCUCUACUCGACUUAAGUUCAUUAACCGGGAGCUCCAAAACAGGUUACUAAGUCGCUGAGAUGAAGCAUUUGUAACAGCAACAUUUGGGCAAGCACUUUCAUCUACCAGGAUGGGAUACCAGAGGGCCGAUAUCAGAGAAUAGUCAAGCUAGAGGACUUCCUUUCAUUCAAGUGUAGAUAAUUCUUCUAGUUGAAUGGUGGUCUCGCGACCUGGUCGAGCUCCAUAUGCCAUGCUGGUUCUGAUUCUCGAAAUAAAACUGGGAUUGUAAUCCAACACUUGUAUCGCUUAUAGAAUUUUAAGACUUUGGAGUGGAGUGCAGCAGGAUCAAUAGCGGAGAUUCAGACAUAAAUACAAUACAAUGAUUUGAAUACUUAUUAUCCAUUCCAUUCCUGUGAAAUAUGUGUGCUGGUCUCAGAUUUCAUCGGCAACAAACAGAACAAUGAACUCCAGCUCCAGGUAAGGUAAAUAUGCUUCACUGAGUGGCUCUUGUAUAUAACAUGACGACCUUAACUCAUGCAAUUUGUGGUUUAUUUUUGGCAUUACUUUGUGGCGAUGUUCUUGCGCUGAUUGAAUUAAAGUUAAUGCACUAUUUUUUUGUAGUCACCACAUU